ensembl:lncRNA
GCCAAAAUGAUUCCAGUGAGACUAAAGUGAUUUAAAAACUCGCUUUUUGUAAGUUUCACAUAAAGAGUCUCAGAAUGGGCAUUUUAUUGAACUUUUAAGAAACUUGUUGUUUUUAGCACCGGUGCUGUUUGUGUCUGUCUCCACACGUUUAUGUCUGAGCUGGUUCGAUUUCUGUUUGUUUAAGGGAGUGUGUGUUUAGAGUGUGUGUGUGUGUGUGUGUGUGUGUGUGUGUGUGUGUGUGUGUGUGUGUGUGUGUGUGUUCGCCCGUGUGUUAUGUGUACACAGCGGGCUUUCCGUACGUCUGCUUGUGUCUAAUACCGUGAUUCAUCUCGUGUGUAUUUGGGUUUCCCACCUGAACUGUGUCGUAUUACGGUCUUUUGUCAGUCGCCUAUUACAUGCGUCUAAAAAUAGGCAGUGAUUGUAUAUGUGGCCACCGAUGGCCCCCACCCAGUCGACAUCAACCAUCUUAUAAGUUCAAAUGAUUUAUGGCUGGCUUUUUAGUCAGGCAGGUGUUUGACGUCAAAACGGACGCCAGUAUGAGGAAUGCAACCACACAGAAGGAAUGUCCUGGAUUCCCGAACAGGACGGAGUUAAUUCACGAACGAUGGAGGCACGCACUGGAGCCCAGUGUGUGUAAACUCCAAAAGGCCAAGAAGACGAUGAAGAACAGCUCAAUAACUUCAAUGAUCCAACAGACAGAGUGAUACUACAAUACAGACAUCCACAAACUGAUGAAGACCAAGAACACUGGGUUUAAAUAGGACAGAGGACUAACGUGGACAGAUGAGACAGAAAACUAAUCAGACACGAGGAAAAACUAGGUCAGAACAGGGAAACAUGAGAAAAGACAACACACUAAAAGUCCAUGAUUGUGACCCUUUAUAAGUACUAAAAAUUAACAAAUAUGCUGGUAAUAUGCACGCUGAUAAGCAAAUAGUUAAUAGUGGGAAUUAGCCCUUUGAAUAAAGUGCUACCAAAAAAAUAAUAAUAAAUAAUAAUGAAAAACAAGGAGGCAGAAUUGUCCACACAAACACAUGAACUUUUCUAAACAUAGUAGCAUGUUAGAGUAAACAGAAGACUUUUUCCUUUCAUUAUAUACAGGAUUGUGAUCAAAUACGGUUCAUUUAAACCUAAAAUAUAUAAACAUGUUUGUGGUUUCCUGUUGCAUUUAGAAACACAAGCACAUGGUCAAUGCACUUGACCACAUAAAAUGAUAUGCUUAUGACCUUUGAUGUGUUGAAUAAAAUGUGCUCAUAUACUUGUUGUACACUAUACAGGUCGCUCCAUAUUUCAAAUGUGAGUGGAGUUUUUCAUUGAACUUUCAUGGAAGUGAUGGUGUAAAACGCAAACUGCAGGCAAAGCACUUUAAUGAAACUUGAUGCCCAUUUAUAUUUUUUACCCAAGAAUGAACAUUUGCUG